GGUGCGUAGGUGGUUGAAUAAGUUAUAUGUAAAAGCCCUGGGCUUAACCUGGGAUUGAGAUUUAAUACUGGUUAACUGGAGUAUUGGAGAGGGUAGUGGAAUUUCCGGUGUAGCGGUGAAAUGCGUAGAGAUCGGAAGGAACACCAGUGGCGAAGGCGGCUACCUGGCCCAAUACUGACACUGAAGCACGAAAGCGUGGGGAGCAAACAGGAUUAGAUACCCUGGUAGUCCACGCCGUAAACGAUGUCA
rnacentral:rRNA from 1 species